rnacentral:rRNA from 1 species
GGUGAACGCUGGCGGCGUGCUUGACACAUGCAAGUCGAACGGUAUGUGGCAACACAUAGAGUGGCGAACGGGUGAGUAACACGUGGGAACGUACCUUCUGCAGGGGGAUAACUGACCGAAAGGACAGCUAAUACCGCAUAAGACCGAGAGGAGAAAGGUGCAACAGCAUCGGCAGAGGAGCGGCCCGCGGACCAUCAGCUAGUUGGUGGGGUAAGAGCCUACCAAGGCAACGACGGAUAGCCGGCGUGAGAGCGUGGCCGGCCACAAGGACACUGAGAUACGGGUCCUACUCCUACGGGAGGCAGCAGUGCGGAAUUUUAGAUAAUGGAGGCAACUCUGAUCUAGCGACGCCGCGUGCAGGAAGAAGGUCUUCGGAUUGUAAACUGCUGUGGUAAGGGAAAAAUGCCAUGUAGAGUGGAAAGCUACAUGGAGGGAUGGUACUUUACUAGAAAGCCCCGGCUAACUACGUGCCAGCAGCCGCGGUAAUACGUAGGGGGCGAGCGUUACCCGGAAUCACUGGGCGUAAAGGGAGCGUAGGUGGCCUGACAUGUCGACUGUGAAAACCCGGAGCUCAACUCCGGACUUGCAGUUGAAACUGCCAGGCUUGAGGACGGUAGAGGAAGACGGAACUGCCAGUGUAGGGGUAAAAUCCUUAGAUAUUGGCAGGAACGCCGGUGACGAAGGUGGUUUUCUGGGCCGGUUCUGACACUGAUGCUCGAAAGCCAGGGGAGCGAACGGGAUUAGAUACCCCGGUAGUCCUGGCCCUAAACGAUGUUCACUAGGUGUGGGGAGCGGAAAGCUUUCCGUGCUAAAGCUAACGCGAUAAGUGAACCGCCUGGGGAGUACGCCCGCAAGGGUGAAACUCAAAGGAAUUGACGGGGGCCCGCACAAGCGGUGGAGCGUGUGGUUUAUUCGAUGCUAAGCGAAAGACCUUACCAAA